rnacentral:rRNA from 1 species
AUUUUUUUGAUAUUUUAUUUAAGAUAAGACCUGCCCAAUGACUUUUGUUAAAUGGCUGCAGUAUUUUAACUGUACGAAGGUAGCAUAAUCAUUUGUUUAGUAAUUUUAGACUUGAAUGAAAGGUUUGAUUAGAUUUAAUCUUUUUUUGUAUUAUUAAUAAGAAUUUAAUUUAUUAAUUAAAAAGUUAAUAUAUUUUUAUUGGACGAGAAGACCCUAUAGAACUUAAUAUUUAAUAAAAUAACUUAUUUUAUUAAAUAUUAUAUUGGGGGGAUAGAAAUUAAUAUAAACAAUUUUAUUUAUUUUUUCAUUGAUUUAUGAUUUUUUGAUCCAGUUGUUUUGAUUAUAAGAUGAAGUUACCUUAGGGAUAACAGCGUAAUUUGUUUGGAGAGUUCUUAUUGAAAAACCAAGUUUGCGA